rnacentral:rRNA from 1 species
GAUGAACGCUGGCGGCGUGCUUAACACAUGCAAGUCGAACGAAGCACCUUAUUCUGAUUUCUUCGGAAUGAAAAAUUUGGUGACUGAGUGGCGGACGGGUGAGUAACGCGUGGGUAACCUGCCUCAUACAGGGGGAUAACAGUUAGAAAUGACUGCUAAUACCGCAUAAGACCACAGCACCGCAUGGUGCAGGGGUAAAAACUACGGUGGUAUGAGAUGGACCAGCGUCUGACUAGGUAGUUGGUGGGGUAACGGCCUACUAAGCCGACGAUCAGUAGCCGACCUGAGAGGGUGACCGGCCACAUUGGGACUGAGACACGGCCCAAACUCCUACGGGAGGCAGCAGUGGUGAAUAUUGCACAAUGGGGGAAACCCUGAUGCAGCGACGCCGCGUGAGCGAUGAAGUAUUUCGGUAUGUAAAGCUCUAUCAGCAGGGAAGAAAAUGACGGUACCUGACUAAGAAGCACCGGCUAAAUACGUGCCAGCCGCCGCCGUAA